GACGAACGCUGGCGGCGUGCUUAACACAUGCAAGUCGAACGAUGAAGCCGGAGCUUGCUCUGGUGGAUUAGUGGCGAACGGGUGAGUAACACGUGAGUAACCUGCCCUUGACUCUGGGAUAAGCGUUGGAAACGACGUCUAAUACCGGAUACGAGCUAGGACCGCAUGGUCACUAGCUGGAAAGAACUUCGGUCAAGGAUUGACUCGCGGACUAUAAGUUAGUUGGUGAGGUAACGGCUCACCAAGACGACGACGGGUAGCCGGCCUGAGAGGGUGACCGGCCACACUGGGACUGAGACACGGCCCAGACUCCUACGGGAGGCAGCAGUGGGGAAUAUUGCACAAUGGGCGCAAGCCUGAUGCAGCAACGCCGCGUGAGGGACGACGGCCUUCGGGUUGUAAACCUCUUUUAGCAGGGAAGAAGCGAAAGUGACGGUACCUGCAGAAAAAGCACCGGCUAACUACGUGCCAGCAGCCGCGGUAAGAC
rnacentral:rRNA from 1 species